AGGUUUAUCAUACAAAUCAAAGGAUUGAUUGAUGAGUUUAACUACUGAAAUUAAGAAGACAAAGAGAAGUGAUUAUUACUUAAAAGUGCAUUUUUAUCAAGGCCUAUCACAUAAAUCAAAGGAUUGAUUGAUGAGUUUAACUACUGAAAUUGAGAAGACAAAGAAAGGGCUAAGCUUAGAAAAGACAUGUUGGUUCAGUCCAAACUGGAACACCAUUCGGUUAUUGGAUCAUAACUGCAGCUGUAGAACUUGGAUUUAGGUUUGAUUUAUAUGUAUGGAAAGCUAAUACAUAGGCCUAAAACUUUCAUGAAGAGUCCAAGAUUCAAAAGGACCGUUUUCAAGUUCAAAUUAUAGCAACAAUAGAGAAGUCAGAAUCUGUCCUACAUCCCAGACACUAUUCAGUGUUCAACCCAUAUCUCGAGUUCUAGAAGUCCAAAUGCACCGAUUCUUAUUUUGUUGGAAAACUGAGACAAUUUCCCAAAACUUUCAUGAAGACUAUCUACUCAAAUGCUGAUGUGAGCAAUGACGUUUUCUGCAGACAAGAAGAUAAGGAUAGUUACCAAGUCAAGAGGUGGCCACCCACUCAACAAUUAGUCAUCAAAUCAAUAGUUCCGAAUUUUGGCCUAUAAAAAGUGGCAUUUGAUAUGCAUUUAGGCAUCUUGGUUUUCAGAUCAAGAUCAUGCUCUUUAUUUCAUAUUAUAUUUUUUUAAUCUUUUGUUUAUGCUUUUCAUUUCCUUUACUAUACUUAUGUUCUUAUGUUGUUUAUUUAUGUUUUUCUUCUUCAUUAUGUUUAGCUAA